rnacentral:rRNA from 1 species
AUUGAACGCUGGCGGCAUGCCUUACACAUGCAAGUCGAACGGCAGCACGGACUUCGGUCUGGUGGCGAGUGGCGAACGGGUGAGUAAUGUAUCGGAACGUGCCUAGUAGUGGGGGAUAACUAGUCGAAAGAUUAGCUAAUACCGCAUACGACCUACGGGUGAAAGUGGGGGAUCGCAAGACCUCAUGCUAUUAGAGCGGCCGAUAGCAGAUUAGCUAGUUGGUGGGGUAAGGCCCACCAAGGCAACGAUCUGUAGCUGGUCUGAGAGGACGACCAGCCACACUGGGACUGAGACACGGCCCAGACUCCUACGGGAGGCAGCAGUGGGGAAUUUUGGACAAUGGGGGCAACCCUGAUCCAGCAAUGCCGCGUGUGUGAAGAAGGCCUUCGGGUUGUAAAGCACUUUUGUCAGAGAAGAAAACUGUUGCGCUAAUAUCGCGACGGGAUGACGGUAUCUGAAGAAUAAGGACCGGCUAACUACGUGCCAGCCGCCGCAGUAA